rnacentral:rRNA from 1 species
UAGGGAAUCUUCCGCAAUGGACGCAAGUCUGACGGAGCAACGCCGCGUGAGUGAAGAAGGAUUUCGGUUCGUAAAACUCUGUUGUUAGAGAAGAACAGCGCAUAGAGUAACUGUUAUGCGUGUGACGGUAUCUAACCAGAAAGCCACGGCUAACUACGUGCCAGCAGCCGCGGUAAUACGUAGGUGGCAAGCGUUGUCCGGAUUUAUUGGGCGUAAAGCGAGCGCAGGCGGUCAAUUAAGUCUGAUGUGAAAGCCCCCGGCUCAACCGGGGAGGGUCUGUGGGAACGGGUUGACUUAAGUGCAGAAGAGGGGAGUGGAAUUCCAUGUGUGGCGGGGAAAUGCGUAGAUAUAUGGAGGAACACCAGUGGCGAAGGCGACUCUCUGGUCUGUAACUGACGCUGAGGCUCGAAAGCGUGGGUAGAAAACAGG